UCUCUACACUGGUUAUUCUAGGUGGCAUUCUGACUAACCGCGGACCUGCAACAGAGUGGCCUGACUGUUAGAAGGAAAACUAACAAACAGUAAGAAAUAGUUCAACAUCAACAGAAAGGAUGUCCACUCAGAGACCUCCUCCAAAGGUCACCAACUUCAAAGACCAAAGGUAGAUAAAUCCACAAAGAUGGGAAGAAACCAGCACAAAAAGGCUUAAAAUUCCAAAAACCAGAACACCUCUUCUCUUCAAGGGAUCACUGCUCUUUGCCAGCAAGGGAAAAAGACUGGAUGGAGAAUGAGUUUGACUAAUUGAGAGAAGCAGGCUUCAGAAGGCAUAGCCUUACACAGUCUCAUCCUCAUCCACACACCCGUGUGUGGACUGCAGCCAGAGUAAGUGAAUGAAUAUUCGGUGCCCACUGUCAUCAUGGCUCAUUCCAACCAACGGUGAAAUAAAAGAGAGAAGAACCCAUGUGAGCAAGAAGACACCAAAAGAACAGCUGUGCUGGCCCCUUGAUCUUGGACUUCUAUCCUGAAGAACUGGGGAAAAAGUUUCUAUCGUUGGAGUUGGCUAGUGAUAUGCCAUAGAUAUUUUCUCCAGACACUGGGCAGUGGCAGCAAGCAGCAGCUCCCGGUCAGCCACAGGAUCAUGAGGGUAAACACCCUCACCUACCACGCACCGUGUUGCCGUAUGACAUGACUCUACCCAACCGUAAGCUGAAGUCUGAUAUUGAGGUUGUUUUCCAAUGAACACAUUCUUCUAUGAUCAUCUUUCUAUGACAGAUGCCAGGCGAGGUGCCAGAGCCUCAGCAUUGAGAAGUGGUCAACUUAAAAGUCGGUAAGAAGAAUUUAUUGACAACAUAGGUUUGAAACAAGAAUUUAUUAAAAAGGAAUGCUGUCAAAGUACAGCAGGGAGCCUCAAUGAGAGAGGACUGAGCUCGCGGAGGUGGGUUUUUUCUUAGUGGUAUUUAUGGACCUUAAAAAUGGGAGCUGAGGGGUAAUUUGCAUAUUUAAUUAUUACAUUUGUAGACAUAACAGCAAGUAUUGCAAAAUGAGUUUUGGCAUGGCAUUCCAAAGAUGUAUAAAAAUUCUAGUAACUUAUAAAAGUUGAAAGAGGCCAGGAACCAGGUACUGACUUUAGAUACUAGGAAAGUUUAAUUACUUCUCUCUCUCUCUCACAUGGAGUUUCACUUGUUACCCGGGAUGGAGUGCAGUGGCUCCAUCUUGGCUCACCACAACCUCCACCUCCUGGGGUCAAUCAAUUCUCCUGUCUCAGCCUCCUGAGAAGUUGGAAUUACAGGCAUGCACCGCCACUAUACCCAACUGAUUUUUUGUCUUUUUAAUAGAGAUGGGGUUUCACCAUGUUGGUCAGGUUGGUCUUGAACUCCUGACCUCAGAGUGUAACCAGAUUACCUGCAAGCAGAUUUAAUGGAACUCAGGUUCUUGGCCUCUCCAACCCGUGAGUGGGGAAGGGGGCCAUGGUAAGUGUCAUAGCUUAAGCAGAACUCAUGGACCCAAAGAGUGCGUGGUAUUGUGAUUAGGCAGAGUGAAAGGACAGCUUCCGUGCUGCGUAAGGGGACCUGGAGUGGGUGCCGCUGCAGACCUGGGCAGCUGGAGCUUAUGCCCCUGAGUUAUUCCCUCCCCAUUCUUGCUGUCAUCCAAUGAGAGGAGUUUUUUUCAAACUUUCUCUGGACUGUAUUUUAAAACCCUAAGUCACUGAGCCUCUACCUUCAGGGGCUGGAAGCAGGAAACCUGGAAACAAAGCCCUAGCUGGCCAGAGGCGGGAAAAGUUCCUGUGCUUCAAAGAAAGCCCCUGGCCGGCCAGAGGCAGGACAUGUUCCUGCACUCAAAAUAAAAGAGGCCCUACGCAACCCCGGAAGUUCCUCAGUCCCCACUCUGAACAGGAAAGUCCAACUGCUGUUGGCACGUGGGCGACAACUGCUCUACCUACUUCCUGCUUAUCUGGGGCACAGAAGGGGGCCCUGCAGUUGAGGUUUCCUCCAGAGGGGAGUAUUCUGGGGUUGCAGGUUGAUCCUGUGGUCCGUGAAGGAAAUUAUGAGCCACGGACAUUCGGGGUUCCAUUUGGACCAUUUGUAUCUUCGUGGCCUCAAUUCUGGGAGAAACAAAUUUGGCCAGAAAGUUAAAGAUGAGAG